rnacentral:rRNA from 1 species
UGGGGAAUAUUGAGCAAUGGGCGAAAGCCUGACGCAGCGACGCCGCGUGAGGGAUGAAGGUUUUCGGAUCGUAAACCUCUGUCAGAAGGGAAGAAACCGCACUGUGCUAAUCAGCAGUGCCUUGACGGUACCUUCAAAGGAAGCACCGGCUAACUCCGUGCCAGCAGCCGCGGUAAUACGGAGGGUGCAAGCGUUAAUCGGAAUUACUGGGCGUAAAGCGCACGUAGGCUGCUUUGUAAGUCAGGGGUGAAAUCCCACGGCUCAACCGUGGAACUGCCUUUGAUACUGCUUAGCUUGAAUCCGGGAGAGGGUGGCGGAAUUCCAGGUGUAGGAGUGAACUCCGUAGAUAUCUGGAUGAACAUCAGUGGCGAAGGCGGCCACCUGGACCGGUAUUGACGCUGAGGUGCGAAAGCGUGGGGAGCAAACAGG